rnacentral:lncRNA from 13 species
GUUUUAUUUUACCUUCAAUUAUUUUCUCUUUGAUGUUUUUUCUGUUUUAAAAGUUUAGAUCUGAUUUUCUGACAUAUUUCCCUUCUCUCUGAAGAACUUCUUUUCAUACUUCUUUGCUGGAAGGUCUGCUGGCUAUGAAUUCCCUCAGUUUUUGUCUUUGAGAGUGUAUUUCUUUUUCAAUUUUGAAAUCAAUUCAAUUUUUUUUCCUGCCUUUUGGAAUACCUUACAAGUUUUUGUUGCAAUCUGUAUUGAGGUUAAUAGGACAUUAGUGUGAAAUUUAUCUGAAUCUGACUAGCAAUUGGACUAUAUUCAACAUUUGUUGUAGCUGUAGGUGUCAGAGACUAAAUUUCACUAAUGCCCUGUUUUUGUUUCUCUGUUGGCUUCAGGUUUUCUUAAGAUCUUUCAUAGAACCUGAGCUUUGCAGCUUUUUCAGCUGUAAUCUACUUUUUACUGUUAAUGUGAUGAAAAAGAGUUGGGGAGGAAAAUGCUUUAUAAUCUUAUAAUCAAAUAUUAUUCUUUCAGUGGGCCUAUGUCCCUGGAGUGAUCUUCACCAGUAAUUCUUACAUUCAUAUUCUCCCACACUUAGAUGAAAGGGUAGAGAGACCUGGAGUUGCAUACUACUCUCCUGCCUAUUGAAGACACAACUUUCGUAAUGGCUUCUUCACUGGAGAGUAGCCUAUUGUUUUGGCAUUCCAAAGUGAUCACUUUCCCCAUCUAUUCAUCAAAGAUAUGAGGGAAACAUUUAGAAGAGAACAAUGGGUUCAACUUGUGUCAUCAUACCUGGCUUUUCUACAAAAUUUCCAAGACUUCUAUGCAGAUCCUUAUUUGAAGUUAACAGCUGAAGGUACUCCAUCCUAUAUUACAUGUUGGCUACAAUAUGGGAGAUCACCUAGUAUUUGAGGUAUUUAUAUAAAGAACUGAUGUGUGUUUUGGAUAUAUAAUGGUCUGGACUGCAUUCAUUCUUCUGCCAUUUUAGGAUAGGGACAAGUCCAAAGAAUAGUCUGAUAACAUAUUAAACCACUAAAUGCCUAUUUUUGUUGUGUUUGUUGACUU